rnacentral:rRNA from 1 species
UACGUAGGUGGCAAGCGUUGUCCGGAAUUAUUGGGCGUAAAGCGCGCGCAGGCGGUCCUUUAAGUCUGAUGUGAAAGCCCACGGCUCAACCGUGGAGGGUCAUUGGAAACUGGGGGACUUGAGUGCAGGAGAGAAGAGUGGAAUUCCACGUGUAGCGGUGAAAUGCGUAGAGAUGUGGAGGAACACCGGUGGCGAAGGCGGCAUCCUGGACCGGCAUUGACGCUGAGGAGCGAAAGCCAGGGGAGCAAACGGG